CGCGAUGUCGUUGAGGCGGGUGAGCAGCGCGGCCGGUUCGAGGCCGAUCGACGCGAGGCUCUGCACGGCGGUCCGGUAGCGGCCCAUCGCGGC
rnacentral:tRNA from 1 species